rnacentral:rRNA from 1 species
UACGUAGGGUGCGAGCGUUAAUCGGAAUUACUGGGCGUAAAGUGUGCGCAGGCGGCGUUGCAAGUCGAGUGUGAAAGCCCCGGGCUUAACUUGGGAAUUGCGCUCGAAACUACGAUGCUGGAGUGUGGCAGAGGAAGGUGGAAUUCCACGUGUAGCGGUGAAAUGCGUAGAGAUGUGGAGGAACACCGAUGGCGAAGGCGGCCUUCUGGGCCAACACUGACACUCAUGCACGAAAGCGUGGGGAGCAAACAGG